UUCGCUUCUCGGCUCUCUGAGCUAAGAUCAUGUGUAGUAUCUGUUAUUGGCAGUGUAAUUUCUUCAACGCUCUCUAAACUGAGACCAAUGUUGAAGGCGGCCUGCUUGAGCAUCUGGGCUACCUGUUCCUGCCAUCUAGAUAUUUCAACAAGUUAUCUAUUUUUGUUUGUUUUAAUAUAUCAUUA
rnacentral:snRNA from 1 species